AAGACUUUGGCAAAUACACCCUUCAGGCAAAUACAUCCUAGUCUCUUAUGAUUCAGUAAAUCACCCUACAAAGAGAUGAGGAUGGAGUCGAGUGAGCCUUUGCUGAGAUCUUCCACACAUUGAUUCCUAGAAAAGGAAAAUGGAGUCCUAGAGAAGGAAGUAGAUUGACCUGUCCCGGCAUGUUGAAAAACUUGAUAGACACAUUGCCCUUCAGUUUGCCCUCCCACUCACAGCAUGCAAGGACAUGAAAAGUCAUGCAGUCACCACUCCCGUCCAGAAGAGGAGCAGCGCCAGCUCCCCUAGACCUCUC
rnacentral:lncRNA from 1 species